GUUUUCACUUCGGCAGUACAUACACUAAAAUUUGGAACGAUAGAGAAAAUUAGCAUGGCUCCUGAGCAAGGAUUACACGCAAAACCGUGAAGCGUUCCAUAUUUUC
rnacentral:snRNA from 1 species